rnacentral:lncRNA from 1 species
CGGGCUUCUUCUGGCUCCAUUUUACUUGGGGUGUAGGCCAAGACACGUGCUCACUGCAGCAAACAUGACGGUUCUAAGCUGCAGGCACUGUUCAACCCUGGCUGGUUACCCUGACCUUCCGCGGACAAGGAGAAUGAGGCAGAUGUCGACGAGAGUUAGAACCAGGAAGGCUCCGGUGCAUCUGAAUAUGUUCUAUCACUACACAGGUAUCUGGGAUCACGGCUCCGUGUAAUAUUGUGAACGUUUAUCUAGUCAGAAGAAUGUGAGAUGCUGAUGAGGAAAGAACAACUUCACUCGGUCCUAC